rnacentral:lncRNA from 1 species
AAAUAAAACUAAAGGCUCUUAAGAGCCUACGUCGUUCACCUUGGUCUAUGUGCAUAUUAAACAAAGAACACAGAUGGAUUAAUGACAAAAUUGUGUUUUGGUGAUGGUGAUGUGUUUGUAGAUCUUACUUUACUGAACAUUCUUGCUUCUUACAAUUAUCUCUAUCUAUAAUGAACAUGGCCCAUUAGUUACAGAGGAAAAUAUUUUGUUAAAAUUUACAAAAAUU